rnacentral:rRNA from 1 species
AUUGAACGCUGGCGGCAUGCUUUACACAUGCAAGUCGAACGGCAGCGCGGGCUUCGGCCUGGCGGCGAGUGGCGAACGGGUGAGUAAUGCAUCGGAACGUGCCCAGUAGUGGGGGGUAGCCCGGCGAAAGCCGGAUUAAUACCGCAUACGACCUGAGGGUGAAAGCGGGGGACCGAAAGGCCUCGCGCUAUUGGAGCGGCCGAUGUCGGAUUAGCUAGUUGGUGGGGUGAAGGCUUACCAAGGCGACGAUCCGUAGCUGGUCUGAGAGGACGACCAGCCACACUGGGACUGAGACACGGCCCAGACUCCUACGGGAGGCAGCAGUGGGGAAUUUUGGACAAUGGGGGCAACCCUGAUCCAGCCAUGCCGCGUGCGGGAAGAAGGCCUUCGGGUUGUAAACCGCUUUUGUUCGGGAAGAAAUCCUCUGGGCUAAUACCCCGGGGGGAUGACGGUACCGGAAGAAUAAGCACCGGCUAACUACGUG